rnacentral:rRNA from 2 species
CACUUUGUGAUUCAUGACUGGGGUGAAGUCGUAACAAGGUAACCGUAGGGGAACCUGCGGUUGGAUCACCUCCUUACCUGAAAGAA